rnacentral:rRNA from 1 species
UACGAGUGGGGCAAGCGUUGUUCGGAAUUACUGGGCUUAAAGCGUGCGUAGGCGGUCAUGAAAGUCAGAAGUGAAAGCCCUGGGCUUAACCCGGGAAUUGCUUUUGAAACUCCAUGACUAGAGACCGGGAGAGGUUAGCAGAAUUCCGAGUGGAGAGGUGAAAUUCGCAGAUAUUCGGAGGAAUACCAGUGGCGAAGGCGGCUAACUGGACCGGUACUGACGCUCAGGCACGAAAGCGUGGGGAUCAAACAGG